GAUGAACGCUGGCGGCGUGCCUAAUACAUGCAAGUCGAACGCGAGCACUUGUGCUCGAGUGGUCGAACGGGUGAGUAAUACAUAAGUAACCUGCCCUAGACAGGGGGAUAACUAUUGGAAACGAGUAGCUAAGACCGCAUAGGCGCACAGUGCUGCAUGGCACAGUGUGAAAAACUCCGGUGGUAUGAGAUAGGACCCGCGUCUGAUUAGCUAGUUGGUGGGGUAACGGCCUACCAAGGCGACGAUCAGUAGCCGGCCUGAGAGGGUGAACGGCCACAUUGGGGACUGAGACACGGCCCAA
rnacentral:rRNA from 1 species